rnacentral:tRNA from 1 species
GGGCCGGUAGUCUAGCUGGCUAACAAUGAUGGGAGAAAAUGUUUGAGGCCUAGGGACGUCGCCCUCACGCGGCGAAGGUCACCGGUUCGAAUCCGGUCCGGCCCA